rnacentral:lncRNA from 1 species
GGAGGCCUUGGAGGUUCUGAGCGCAGCCUUGGUGUCCUGCUGGUCCUGAUGACCAAGACGGGGAAUUCAGAACGCAGCAUAAUGGCACAGUGAAACUGCAAACUAUAUCAUACUGAAAUGUGGAUAGAUUAGGUUUGCCUUUGCUGCAAUGUGAAGCAUGGCUUCGCAGAAUUCGAGGCAGUACAUGAAGAUGGGUGUGCAUAAGCUGCUUUGGUUGCGAGACAGUAUAUACAAGGAUGAUUCACCCUGGAGGCUUACCGUCAAACAAAGAACUAGUGUCAAGCUCAAAAUUACCAGGAUGUUUGUUGGGCUUAUAUAAGUGCCAGAGGAUAUGAGACAACUAUGACAUAGAGCCAUAGAUAUACCCAAAGCCCUCUGGAUGGGGGUGGGCAAAGCAGAAGUUUGUAAUGGAAAUGAACAUAUGCCUGAUCCUCUAGUACAUGAUUCAGGGCUACCAGGAUGCCACGGAAGUUGAAGUCUGCAGUGAAGUGAUGCAGUAUUUGCUGUAUUUCCCUGGACACAUUGGUGGAGGAAGAUGAAAUUGUGAUUUCAGUUAAACCAAUACUUCUUAACAGCAUUUGGGAUUAAGAUUGGCUAUCACGUGUCUCCGUCAUCAACCUGAGGCCAGGUUUUGAUGAAACUUCACAUGAGUGAUUGGAAUUAGCCAAUACCUCUCUCCACAUGGACUGGAGUGGAGGAUCCUCGGCAGUAAGCUUCCUCUGAAGGAAAGCAAGGACGUCAAGUGGGACUGGUGAACAGGGAGUUGACAUCCAAGCUCAUCAUAGUUCCCGGCUGGACACCACGGACACGGGAGAUGAAGUCCAGGACUUCUUUUCCCGCUCCUCUCUGACUCUUAUUCUCCCUCCUCUCCCCUUCCCCUUCAAAUGGCUGGAUUAAGUCAAGGAGGAUUCUGGAAGUGUUGUCUAAUAUAUUUCAAUAAAUCUAGUUUGUGCAUUGUGGCUUUUCGUAACACACACAAACACACAGAGAAGGAUGAAAAAAGUGCAUUAGACUCCAGGGGGAUUACUUUGAAGGGGAAAACUCUUAGUGUGAAGUUUGAGAUUGUAAGAAAUCUU